rnacentral:rRNA from 1 species
UCCGUAGGUGAACCUGCGGAAGGAUCAUUAAUGGAUUGUAAUGGGGGUUGAUGCUGGUGGCCAUUUCUUUGGCUGCAUUGUGCUCACUUCUAGCAAUUAUUUGUCCAAACACUUGUGCGCCUUUCGAGGGUUUUCCAAUCUUGGAUUUCCCUCUCACAUACACUCAUUUAUAAUAUUGAACGUGUUUGUGCCAUGCAGUGGCCAUAAUAUAUAAUACAACUUUUAACAACGGAUCUCUUGGCUCUCGCAUCGAUGAAGAACGCAGCGAAAUGCGAUAAGUAAUGUGAAUUGCAGAAUUCAGUGAAUCAUCGAAUCUUUGAACGCACCUUGCGCUCCCCGGUAUUCCAGGGAGCACACCUGUUCGAGUGUCGUGAAAUUCUCAAGCUGGAUGAUUUUUUCAUCUCAGUUUGGUUUUGGGCUUUGCCGUGACCCCCUUCAUUGGGACGGCUGGCCUUAAAAAUAUUAGCUGACUCUCAUGUGAGAUUGGUUCUACUCAGCGUGAUAACUCUGACCGCUGACGACAUCUUUUAUUGGAUGGCCGAGCUCUAUGUUGGGUUGCUUCUAAUCCUGGUUUUUACAGAUUUUCGGAUCUGUUUUCCACUCACGAUUUUGGCCUCGAAUCAUGUGGGACUACCCGCUGAACUUAAGCAUAUCAAUAAGCGAAGGAAAAGAAACUAACAAGGAUACACCUAGUAACGACGACUGAAGCCGGGAAAAGCGCCGAUUUGCAUGCUGUUAUCCUUAGGCUCCCCCCACCUGACUAGAAAAGAAGAAAUUUCACGUGCAGGACUGAAGUGCGACGAAACCUGGACAGGGCUACUUCGU